GCUCAUGGCAUGCACUUUUUUCAAGAUUGGAUUGAUCGUCGAUUCAAUUCCAGAUGCAGUGUAUGCAAGGGCCAGAUCAUUUGGACACUUCCUGAACCUCCGCCAUGCCUUUUCCUGAAACUAUGGCACUUGAACUUAAGAAUGGAGCAUUUACCUAAAGUGAUCCACGUGCUAGGCAACAGAUACAUAUUGGGUUCUAUAUAUUUACAUGCCAACCAGCACUUUACUGCAUGGGUGUCCAGACCUCAUGGAAUGGCAUUCUAUGAUGACAAUAAUGUG